GUGUCUUCCCCAGCACAUAUACUGAAAUGGAAAUGAUACAGCGAGGAUUAGCACGGCUCCUGCACAAGGAUGACAUGCAGAUUUGUGAAGUGUCCGUAUUUUUU
ensembl:snRNA U6 U6 spliceosomal RNA